rnacentral:rRNA from 1 species
UAUGAACGCUGGCGGCGUGCUUAACACAUGCAAGUCGAACGGAACUGUUUGAAUGAAGUUUUCGGAUGGAUUUUAAACAGUUUAGUGGCGGACGGGUGAGUAACGCGUGGGUAACCUGCCUCGCACUGGGGGAUAACAGUUAGAAAUAGCUGCUAAUACCGCAUAAGCGCACAGCUCCGCAUGGAGCAGUGUGAAAACUCCGGUGGUGUGAGGUGGACCCGCGUCUGAUUAGCCAGUUGGCGGGGUAACGGCCCCACCAAAGCGACGGAUCAGUAGCCCGGCCUGAGGAGGGUUGAACGGCCACAUUGGGACUGAGACCACGGACCCCAA